UACGUAGGGGGCAAGCGUUAUCCGGAUUUACUGGGUGUAAAGGGAGCGUAGGCGGUGAUGCAAGUCAGAAGUGAAAGCCCGCAGCUCAACUGCGGGACUGCUUUUGAAACUGUAUGACUAGAUUGCAGGAGAGGUAAGUGGAAUUCCUAGUGUAGCGGUGAAAUGCGUAGAUAUACGGAGGAACACCAGUGGCGAAGGCGGCCUGCUGGACAAUAACUGACGCUGAGGCGCGAAAGCGUGGGGAGCAAACAGG
rnacentral:rRNA from 1 species